UUUUUUUAAUUAUCAAAAACAAACAUUAAAAUCCAGUGGCAACCAUUGUAAAUAAGUCUUAACUACAUGAUUUAUUUCACAAAAUGGCUGCAAAAAUGUAUAUAUAGAUGGUUUAAUUUGUUUUU
rnacentral:sRNA from 1 species